rnacentral:rRNA from 1 species
AUUGAACGCUGGCGGCAGGCCUAACACAUGCAAGUCGAACGGUAACAGGAAGAAGCUUGCUUCUUUGCUGACGAGUGGCGGACGGGUGAGUAAUGUCUGGGAAACUGCCUGAUGGAGGGGGAUAACUACUGGAAACGGUAGCUAAUACCGCAUAACGUCGCAAGACCAAAGAGGGGGACCUUCGGGCCUCUUGCCAUCGGAUGUGCCCAGAUGGGAUUAGCUAGUAGGUGGGGUAACGGCUCACCUAGGCGACGAUCCCUAGCUGGUCUGAGAGGAUGACCAGCCACACUGGAACUGAGACACGGUCCAGACUCCUACGAGAGGCAGCAGUGGGGAAUAUUGCACAAUGGGCGCAAGCCUGAUGCAGCCACGCCGCGUGAAUGAAGAAGGCCUGCGGGUUGUAAAGUACUUUCAGCGGGGAGGAAGGGAGUAAAGUUAAUACCUUUGCUCAUUGACGUUACCCGCAGAAGAAGCACCGGCUAACUCCGUG